AUUGAGCGCUGGCGGCAUGCCUUACACAUGCAAGUCGAACGGCAGCGCGGGAGCAAUCCUGGCGGCGAGUGGCGAACGGGUGAGUAAUAUAUCGGAACGUGCCCAGUAGUGGGGGAUAGCCCGGCGAAAGCCGGAUUAAUACCGCAUACGACCUGAGGGUGAAAGCGGGGGAUCGCAAGACCUCGCGCUAUUGGAGCGGCCGAUAUCAGAUUAGCUAGUUGGUGGGGUAAAGGCCUACCAAGGCAACGAUCUGUAGUUGGUCUGAGAGGACGACCAGCCACACUGGGACUGAGACACGGCCCAGACUCCUACGGGAGGCAGCAGUGGGGAAUUUUGGACAAUGGGCGCAAGCCUGAUCCAGCAAUGCCGCGUGCAGGAAGAAGGCCUCGGUU
rnacentral:rRNA from 1 species